rnacentral:rRNA from 1 species
AUUGAACGCUGGCGGCAUGCCUUACACAUGCAAGUCGAACGGGAGCACGGGGGCAACCCUGGUGGCGAGUGGCGAACGGGUGAGUAACACAUCGGAACGUGUCCUGUUGUGGGGGAUAACCCACCGAAAGGUGAGCUAAUACCGCACGAUCUGGAGACAGCAAAGCAGGGGACCCGCAAGGGCCUUGCGCGAUUGGAGCGGCCGAUGUCCGAUUAGCUAGUUGGCGGGGUAAAGGCCCACCAAGGCGACGAUCGGUAGCUGGUCUGAGAGGAUGAUCAGCCACACUGGGACUGAGACACGGCCCAGACUCCUACGGGAGGCAGCAGUGGGGAAUUUUGGACAAUGGGGGCAACCCUGAUCCAGCCAUGCCGCGUGAGUGAAGAAGGCCUUCGGGUUGUAAAGCUCUUUCGGUGGGAACGAAACGGUUACGACGAAUACUCGUGACUACUGACGGUACUCACAGAAGAAGCACCGGCUAACUACGUGCCAGCCGCCGCAGUAAAAC